rnacentral:rRNA from 1 species
GUACACUCCUCGGGAGGCAGCAGUGGGGAAUAUUGCACAAUGGGCGCAAGCCUGAUGCAGCCAUGCCGCGUGUAUGAAGAAGGCCUUCGGGUUGUAAAGUACUUUCAGCGGGGAGGAAGGCAAUACGGUUAAUAACCGUGUUGAUUGACGUUACCCGCAGAAGAAGCACCGGCUAACUCCGUGCCAGCAGCCGCGGUAAUACGGAGGGUGCAAGCGUUAAUCGGAAUUACUGGGCGUAAAGCGCACGCAGGCGGUCUGUCAAGUCGGAUGUGAAAUCCCCGGGCUCAACCUGGGAACUGCAUUCGAAACUGGCAGGCUUGAGUCUUGUAGAGGGGGGUAGAAUUCCAGGUGUAGCGGUGAAAUGCGUAGAGAUCUGGAGGAAUACCGGUGGCGAAGGCGGCCCCCUGGACAAAGACUGACGCUCAGGUGCGAAAGCGUGGGGAGCAAACAGGAUUAGAUACCCCUGUAGUCCCAUGAU